rnacentral:rRNA from 1 species
AUGGAAAAGAAUAGAAGUCCUAGCCCUGAUGGAUUCCCAAUUGAUUUCUAUUAAUUUUUCUGGGAUGUGAUCAGAGAUGACCUGAUGAAUCUAGUUAAUGAUUUCCAUUAGGGGACCUUGGACAUAUCUAGAAUCAAUUUUGGGGUCAUCACACUGGUUCCUUAGACCAAAGAUGCUAGAUAGAUUCAAAAAUAUAGACCCAUCUAUUUGUUGAAUGUAAGCAUUAAGAUUAUUACCAAAGUGUUGAUGAAUAGACUUAGCAAAGUGGUAAACCCAAUCAUCUCUCUAGUGCAGACUGCCUUCACCAAGGGCAGAUACAUUAUGGAGGGUGUGGUGAUUCUUCAUGAGGCCUUAAACACAAUACAUACCAAAAAUAGAGUGCACUACUGUUCAAAGUAG